rnacentral:rRNA from 1 species
UACGUAGGGUCCGAGCGUUGUCCGGAAUUACUGGGCGUAAAGCGUGCGCAGGCGGUAAUGUAAGACAGAUGUGAAAUCCCCGGGCUCAACCUGGGAACUGCAUUUGUGACUGCAUUGCUGGAGUGCGGCAGAGGGGGAUGGAAUUCCGCGUGUAGCAGUGAAAUGCGUAGAUAUGCGGAGGAACACCGAUGGCGAAGGCAAUCCCCCUGGGCCUGCACUGACGCUCAUGCACGAAAGCGUGGGGAGCAAACAGG